rnacentral:rRNA from 1 species
UACCGCAGGGCGUAGCGGAGGGCGGAGGAGGCUGCGAGGUCGGGGUGUAAUCCGGAGGACUCCUCGAUAUGUGUACAGUCUUUGAUGUCGUCAGUUGAAAGUCCAGAAUAAGGUCGACCAGGGGUUUCGAGUUUCGACUGUUCUUCCUUGAUAAUGAAGGGUUUACGGAGAGGAAUGGUUGAGACCUCAUCCAGUAAACGUAGUCUGUCACCUCUGUUCAAACUUCGACAACACGGAAAGUACCCACUUAGACAUUGACUACCUUGAGAACGAUUGAAGAAUUUCUUUGGACCGCUAUCUCAACUCCGCCUACUCCGGUAUCGGGUCUAACUUUGACUAUUCCACUGUUAUCUACAAAGAUCAGGACUUCGACCACAAUAACUUUUCAAAUAACGAUCACUUCCACUAUGCCAAUGAGGUCCGUGGUAUCAACGAUAGCAUAGUUUCAGACGUCGUGGGCGACUUUGUGUACAACGGGGUAGACUCCUCCGCGGGGUUUUUCUUAGUGGAGGUCGUUUUCGACUUCUCUUUAGUGGUUUUCGUCUUCUCUUUGGUUGUUUUCAUCUUGGAGGGUUCUUCGUCCGUGGUUUCGGUUGAGGAAGCUUUUGGAGGGGAUGUCUUGGUGUCGAGGGAGGUUUUCUCGCUCUCGCUGCCCACGGUUACGGGUCCGACUGGUGUAAGUUACUUCAACUGUACUGGUUAAACUACUUCGACGCCAGCCUGAUGUUCCUACUUAAACAGUUCUUCGUACCACAGUUUGACCCAGACUACAGAACGAAACAGUUCCGACGACAAAGACCCGACGUCUUGGUCGGUUAACAGUUACGACAGUAACUGCCACUACUGUAGUAUAUGUCUCUGAUACAGCUGCAAUCACAACGACAACCGUGAAGGUUCCCAGAACACCACGGCCAAUAGGCUCUACGACUAUGUUACUUGAAACGACUGUAGCUCUUUCCCUAUUUGUUGGAACGUUUCUUCCGAUGACUCCCCCGCGACAGUUAACUGCUCUACCGCCCUCCUUGUAAGUGGUAGAGGUUGCCACCACAGAUGCCUUCGGAAUAGUCGUGCGGGUAGUAGUUGGGGGGUGUCAGUCGCUAAGAACCCUACGUGAGGUAGCACGUCGCGGGGCACCAGCACCUGCCGUCGUAGGAGCGGUCCGGGUACUACAUGGAGCGCGACUGUAUGCUGGUGUCCGACUAGCUGCCGUCUCUCCGGCAGAUGAAGGACGCGGCGUAGUUCCUGCAGCAGCUCCUGGGGGCCUCCGACGAGGAGCUGUAUAUU